GACGUAGGGCGCAAGCGUUGUCCGGAUUUAUUGGGCGUAAAGAGCUCGUAGGCGGCUUGUUGCGUCGUCCGUGAAAACCCGCAGCUCAACUGCGGGCUUGCGGACGAUACGGGCAGGCUGGAGUUCGGUAGGGGAGACUGGAAUUCCUGGUGUAGCGGUGAAAUGCGCAGAUAUCAGGAGGAACACCGGUGGCGAAGGCGGGUCUCUGGGCCAUAACUGACGCUGAGGAGCGAAAGCGUGGGGAGCGAACAGG
rnacentral:rRNA from 1 species